AACUCUUUGUUGUACUGGUUUUUUAUUUUUUUUUAAGAAUUUUAUCAAAACUUUUAACGUCAUGUGCUGACUACUAUUAUACAACUUUUACAAAUACAAAAUAUCAUUUGUCACAACUUAUUUAAGCCACUGACCGGUUUCUACUGUACAC